GACGAACGCUGGCGGCGUGCUUAACACAUGCAAGUCGAACGGAAAGGCCCUGCUUUUGUGGGGUGCUCGAGUGGCGAACGGGUGAGUAACACGUGAGUAACCUGCCCUUGACUUUGGGAUAACUUCAGGAAACUGGGGCUAAUACCGGAUAGGAUCUCCUGCUGCAUGGUGGGGGUUGGAAAGUUUCGGCGGUUGGGGAUGGACUCGCGGCUUAUCAGCUUGUUGGUGGGGUAGUGGCUUACCAAGGCUUUGACGGGUAGCCGGCCUGUGAGGGUGACCGGCGACAUUGGGACUGAGAUACGGACCAGAAUGCAACGGGAGGCAGCAGUGGGGAAUAUUGCACAAUGGGAGGAAGCCUGAUGCAGAAACGCCGCGUGCGGGAUGACGGCCUUCGGGGUGUAAACCGCUUUCGCCUGUGACGAAGCGGGAGUGACGGUAAUGGGUAAAGAAGCACCGGCUAACUACGUG
rnacentral:rRNA from 1 species